AAUUUUUUUUAUAAUAAUAAUCAUCAAAACUCUUUUAUACUCAUAAACCAAUAAAAGCCCCUUAGUAUGCAAGAAAUUUGAGGCUCUGAAUUUUUUUAUUAGACAUACAGACCAGAAAGAAAAUUAGAUUUCAAAUGUACAGUUGUUGUGUUUCCCUUUUGGGAUAAUCUCGUACAAAUAUAUAAUAUUUAAAUAUUUAAGACUUAUUAAUUAUGAAGUUUGACAAAAGAAAACAAAUUCUAAUUUUUUUUUUUGACCAAACUAGUAUUUUAGAAAAGAGAAAAUAAAAAUAUGAAAACCUCUUUAGAAACUCUAUUGCCAUGGUCUUACCCCAAAUUGAGAAUUCAUAAAUGAGUUUGUUAAGGGAACCUAUCCUUUUAUGGUCUUACCCAAAUCGUUUUCUAUUAACACUUGAACAAAUGCAGCUCUCCAAACCGAGGAUUAAUGUCUUUAAUCCAACGGCUAGCUGGUAAGCCUAUAUUUUAAUCCUCUUCAACGGUAAUAAGAACCCAUCUCACGACAUGCAUGCCUUGUCUCAAGAAAUAUUUACAUAAAGCUAUAUAUUUCUUUUUUUUUGUAAACUGGCUUUCAAUAUCGAUAAAUUAAUAAUCAAAAGCAUUCAAUAUACUUUUUGGCAGGAAUUUUCUUAUAUAAUAUAAUUCAAAUCAAAAUCAGGUAAUGUUUUCAUUUUUUGUGUAAGAAAAAUCUGUAUAAAUAAUUGAUAAGAAUAAAAAAGAAAUUAACAAAAAAAAGAAAUAAAAGAUUAAACCAACGGUAACGAAAAGAAAAGUUACCGUUGCUUUAAAUGAUAUAUGACCGUUGUUGUAAUAAAGGCAAUUCAAAAUCUCCUCCUGUCAAUAUAGCUUUGAUGAUAAAAAAAAGUUACCGUUGGUUUAAUGUUCUUCUGAAUCACCCGCUCCUUCGUUUACUUCCUCUAUAUAUAGUAUCGUGUCUCUCUCUCUCUCUAAUCCAUUAUUUCUCAUUCUCAAAGUGGAUACCACUCUUGAACAUUCAAAACAUCAGCUAGCCUCAAAUUCAUAAGCGAUGCCUUUGAACUCCCGCUUUCAACACAAAGCGAUGCUUCUCUACUUCCUUCCUUCAGCAAGGAGGAAAAAAGAUUCAACCGGCUGUGAUGUUUCAAACAAGAAAAACUCCAUGAGUCGUAGUCCGAUGAUCUUACAUCAAAAAGUGGCAACGUGCUUGUGAAGGAGAGAAUGCCAGAGACCCUUUGCCUGCCACCAACCCUCACAUAGAGAGACCCCUUUGCUUCAGGGAAUAUUCUUAUCUUUGUCUUACUGACCAUCAUCAACACACAAGGAUCCGACUCCAUAUGACUUCUGUAAAGUUCACAACAAAAUGCUUACGAAUCUUCAAGUCGUGAUUGUGGAGGAUGCUUCCUUUGAUCAGAUAUGAUGCCUUCUUCACUUGUUUUCUGUUAAUCAGGUUUUAUCUUUUACUUUUAAAAACCUCUUUUUAAUUUUCUGUUUUUUUUUUUUCAUUCCGCCAAACAUGGUUCUUAUAAUCUGUUUUUGUCAAAUACUUGUUUUAAAAAGAUAGAAACCAAAACGUUUUUUUUCCUCGAAACGUUUUUCAAAGUUUUUAGGAAAUUUUUUUUUUCAAAGAUAGAAACCAAAACUUUUUCAAAGUUCUUAGGAAACUUUUUAUUUAACUUGUUCAUUGAAAACCUAAUUAUAAAUUUAUGCUAACAAAUAAAAUGUGAUAUCCUGUCAUUAAGAUCGUUAGAGAUAAAUAAAAUGUUCAAAAAAAUGUUAGAGUAACACUUAUUAUAUCAUUAAGUCUUUCCUAAUCAUUCUAGCAAUUAUAAAAAGAGUCCCUUUUAUUCUUCUGUUUGUGUUAUGAAAACCUAAUUAUAAAUUUGUGCUAACAAAUAAAAUGUGAUAUAACGUUUUUUUUCCUCGAAACGUUUUUCAAAGUUUUUAGGAAAUUUUUUUUUUCAAAGAUAGAAACCAAAACUUUUUCAAAGUUCUUAGGAAACUUUUUAUUUAACUUGUUCAUUGAAAACCUAAUUAUAAAUUUAUGCUAACAAAUAAAAUGUGAUAUCCUGUCAUUAAGAUCGUUAGAGAUAAAUAAAAUGUUCAAAAAAAUGUUAGAGUAACACUUAUUAUAUCAUUAAGUCUUUCCUAAUCAUUCUAGCAAUUAUAAAAAGAGUCCCUUUUAUUCUUCUGUUUGUGUUAUGAAAACCUAAUUAUAAAUUUGUGCUAACAAAUAAAAUGUGAUAUCCUGUCAUUAAGAUAGUUAGAGAUAAAAAAAAAUUUCAAAAAAAUGUUAAGAGUAACACUUAUUAUAUCAUUAAGUCUUACCUAAUAUCAUUCUAGCAAUUAUAAAAAGAGUCCCUUUUAUUCUUCUGUUUGUGUUUUUCUGAUAUUUUGGAAAAAAAUAUUUUUAUUUAAACAGAAAAAACGUUUAUUUUCAAAACUUCUAAGUAUUCAAAGUUUUUAGGAAAAAAAAAUUAUAUAACUUUGAUCAUGGAACCUAACACUUAUUAUAUCAUUAAGUCUUUCCUAAUCAUUCUAGCAAUUAUAAAAAGAGUCCCUUUUAUUUUUUUGUUUUUGUUUUUCUGAUAUUUUGGAAAAAAUGUUUUUUUUAAACAAAAAAACGUUUCUUUUCAAAACUUCUAAUUUUUCAAAGUUGUUAGGAAAAAAAAUUAUAUAACUUUGAUCAUGGAACCUAAUUGUAAAUUUGUGCCAACAGAUAAAAUGUAACAUCGUAUCAUUAUGAUCGUUAGAGCAUCUCCAAUGUAAAACUCCAUUUUCCCUCUAAAAUAGAGUAAAAGUGAAAAUGAAGUAAAAUUAUUCCAAUCCUACUCCAUUUCCAAUUCCAUAAUGGAGUGAUGAAUAAACAAAAAAUAAAUUACUCCAUUUAUAAAGUAAAUUUCAUUAUGGAGUGAGAUAUGGAGUUGGGUUGGAACAUUCCUUACUCCAUAUUCACUUUCACUCUAUUUUAGAGAAAAAAAUGGAGUAGAGAUGGAGAUGCCCUUAGAGAUAAACAAAAUGUCAUUAUGUUUCGUUUGCUUUAACACUUAUUAUCAGUAAGUUUUUCCUAAUCAUUUUAGCAAUUAUAAAAAAAAGUCCCUUUUAUUUUUAUUUGUGUUUUUUGAUAUUUUGGCAACAAUUUGUUUUUUGAAAACAGAAAAACCGUUUCUCUUAAAAACUUCUAAUUUUGUCAAGGUUUUGGGAAAUAGUUUUUAUAUAACUAGAUUUGAUCAUGUCAAUGUGAUCGUUAGAGAUAAUAAUUUCAUUUGAUUUAACACUUAUGAUCACUAAGUUCUUUCUAAUCAGCUUAGCAAUUAUAAAAAAAAAAUCCCUUUUAUUUUUGUUUGUGCUGUUCUGACAUUUUGGCAACAAUUUGUUUUUAAAAACAGAAAAACCGUUUCUUUUAAAAACUUUUAAUUUUGUCAAGGUUUUUGGGAAAUAGUUUUUAUAUAACUAGAUUUGAUCAUGGAUAUGUGUAAAUUUGUCACAGACAAGUAAAAUAUAGUAUCCUGUCAAUGUAAUCGUUAGAGAUAAUAUAUUUUAUUUGAUUUAACACUUAUAAAAAUAAAAAGUCCCUUUUAUUUUUAUUUGUGUUUUUUUGAUAUUUUGGCAACAAUUUGUUUUUUUUGAAAACAGAAAAAUCGUUUCUCUUAAAAACUUCUAAUUUUGUCAAGGUUUUGGGAAAUAGUUUUUAUAUAACUAGAUUUGAUCAUGUCAAUGUGAUCGUUAGAGAUAAUAAUUUCAUUUGAUUUAACAUUUAUGAUCACUAAGUUCUUUCUAAUCAGCUUAGCAAUUAUAAAAAAAAAAAUCCCUUUUAUUUUUGUUUGUGCUGUUCUGACAUUUUGGCAACAAUUUGUUUUUAAAAACAGAAAAACCGUUUCUUUUAAAAACUUUUAAUUUUGUCAAGGUUUUUGGGAAAUAGUUUUUAUAUAACUAGAUUUGAUCAUGGAUAUGUGUAAAUUUGUCACAGACAAGUAAAAUAUAGUAUCCUGUCAAUGUAAUCGUUAGAGAUAAUAUAUUUUAUUUGAUUUAACACUUAUGAUCACUAAGUUCUUCCUAAACUGGCAAUUAUAAAAAGACUCCUUUUGUUUUUGUUUGCGUUUUUUGGUUUUGAUAAUUUUUUGUCAAAUUGUUUUGAAAAACGAAAACAGAAAACGUUUAUUUUCCAAACUUGUAAUUAUUAAGCUUAAGGAAUCUUUUUAUACAACUAGAUUUGAUCACAGAGACUUACGUGUAAAUUUGUCACAAACAAAUAUAAUAUAAUAUCAUCUCAAUGUGAUUGUUAGAGACAAUAUAUUUAAUUUGAUUCAACACUUAUGAUCACAAAGAUUUUUUCUAAUCUAACUAGCAAUUAUAAAAAAGUUCCUUUGUUUUUUGGAGAUAUCGUAUCAAAAAACUCUGAAUGCAGUGUUUUAAAACCCGAUACGGAUCCGCUGUUGAACCGGUGAACCUGGUAACCCAAAUUUUUUUUGGCAAAAUCAAAUAUUUAGAAACCCAUGAAAAUCCACUAAAAUCUGGAACCCAAUACCGGUUGAAACACCGGUUAAACCAGUAAAACUUUAUAUUCUAAGUUUCCAAUCAAGAAGUUAUGUGCUGAUAAAAAAAGUAAGGUUUUCUUUUUUCCAGUUUUAUAUUUAUGAUUUUUAGAUUUUGAUGAAGAUUUAUUUCACUAUGCCACAUAAAGAAAAUGAAGUGAACAAUGGCAGAGAGAACGAAUAUUAGUUGAUGUGAUUUGGUGUUAGUUUAUUUUCGUUAUUGACAAUUAUUAGAAUAAUCAUUUACUUUUAGCUUAUUUUUGAUUUGAAGUUUAAUUUAUUAUUCACAUUAGAUAUUUAAAUAUUUAUGAAUUUUAUGUCUUAUUUUUUUAGAUGUUAUAACUCUUAACUUGUUACAGAUAUUUUUAUAUAAUCUAAACUAUUUUUGGAGAAA